rnacentral:ncRNA from 2 species
AGCUUGAGUAGAAGCGGCUAGCAGUCGGUAACACUUCACACUUACCGUCUUGCGGGGCAUUGCUCGUGAC